rnacentral:lncRNA from 1 species
AUGAUAAGAAGACCUGAAAUGAGAGGUUAACAAUUUUAGUUUAGCACUUUUACAGGGGUGUCGUAAUUUCUAUGAAGGGGUGUCAUAAUUUCUAAGAAGAGAUGUCAUAAUUCUAUUUCUACAUAUAUUCAUCAUCUUUUUUUCUUCCAUGCCAUAUUAUGACAUUUUAGGAGUCAUAAUAUAGACAAAAAAUGAUAGAA